rnacentral:misc_RNA from 1 species
AUAUGAAAGUCCACAUUCCGCCAAUUUCACAUCUUUGAUAAAGUUGUCAAUUCCAUCGACGUUGAAUCCACCAUCUCCAUCUAUAAGCUGAACAGAGCAACUUUCAUCGCUCUUAGCCAUUUGAAGGAAGGGGGAAGCUGAUGCAGAUUGGAAGCUUCUCGGAAGUCGGUGAUGAAGAUGGAGAUGGGAGUUGAUCUUCGAAAAGCAGGCUUGACUGUCUCUGUUGUUCGUUCCGAUUUCCAAAAU